AAGGGAGCGUAGGCCGUGGAUUAAGCGUGUUGUGAAAAAUGGUUGCUCAACGAUCAUCUUGCAGCGCGAACUGGUUCACUUGAGUGUGCGCAACGUUGGCGGAAUUCGUCGUGUAGCGGUGAAAUGCUUAGAUAUGACGAAGAACUCCUAUUGCGAAGGCAGCUGACGGGAGCAUUACUGACGCUGAAGCUCGAAGGUGCGGGUAUCGAACAGGAUUAGAUACCCUGGUAGUCCGCACGGUAAAC
rnacentral:rRNA from 1 species